AUGAGAGACCUGCAGGGAGACCGGCCUCGGGACCCCCGGAAGGGCUGGAGCAGCCGAGCGGGGCCCGGGGGAGGCAGCUGCCCCUGGUCACGGUGCGGGACGAGUCCUGCCGGACCCAGCAUUCACCCAGCCUCCUCUCUCACAGCCUCCACCACAGCCCCGAAAGUCUACCCUCUGGCCUCCAGCUGCGGGGACACGUCCAGCUCCACCGUGACCCUGGGCUGCCUGGUCUCUAGCUACAUGCCCGAGCCGGUGACCGUGACCUGGAACUCAGGUGCCCUGACCAGCGGUGUGCACACCUUCCCGGCUGUCCGGCAGGCCUCCGGGCUCUACUCUCUCAGCAGCAUCGUGACCGUGCCCGCCAGCACCUCAGGAUCCCAGACCUUCACCUGCAACGUAGCCCACCCGGCCAGCAGCACCAAGGUGGACAAGCGUGUUGGGCCCGGAUGUAAUAAAAUCUGCCCACCUUCCCCAUGCCCAGCCCCUGACCUCCCCGGAGGACCGUCUGUCUUCAUCUUCCCCCCGAAACCCAAGGACACCCUCACAAUCUCUGGAACACCCGAGGUCACGUGUGUGGUGGUGGACGUGGGCCAGGAUGACCCCGAGGUCAAGUUCACCUGGUUCGUGAAUGACGUGGAGGUGCACACGGCCAGGACAAAGCCGAGAGAGGAGCAGUUCAACAGCACUUACCGCGUGGUCAGCGCCCUGCCCAUCCAGCACCAGGACUGGACUGGGGGAAAGGAGUUCAAGUGCAAGGUCUACAACGAAGGCCUCCCGGCCCCCAUCGUGAGAACAAUCUCCAGGACCAAAGGGCAGGCCCUGGAGCCGCAGGUGUACGUCCUGGCCCCACCCCGGGAAGAGCUCAGCAAAAACACGGUCAGCCUCACCUGCCUGAUCACCGGCUUCUACCCAGACUACAUCGCCGUGGAGUGGCAGAGAGAUGGGCAGCCUGAGUCGGAGGGCAAGUACGGCACGACCCCACCCCAGCUGGACGCCGACGGCUCCUACUUCCUGUACAGCAGGCUCAGGGUGAACAAGAGCAGCUGGCUAGAAGGAGACAGCUACACGUGUAUAGUGAUGCAUGAGGCUCUGCACAAUCACUACACACAGAAGUCCAUCUCUAAGUCUCCGGGUAAAUGAGCCACACGUCCCUGCACCAGCAAGCCCUCACCCAACCCACCCCCCGGGCUCCAGGUCCAGUCAGGACCCCCAGCCCCUCCCUGUGUGCAUUCCUCCUGGGCCGCCAUGAAUAAAGCACCCAGUGCCGCCCUGGGACCCUGCAA